rnacentral:rRNA from 1 species
AAGCAGAUAUAGCACUACUAAUAGUGUGAUAUCGUACUUUUUGUAGAACGGGCCGGCGAGUUACGAUGUGAUGCGAGGUUAAGUGAUGAAGUCACGGAGCCGAAGCGAAAGCGAGUUUGAAUAGAGCGAAUAGUAUCAUGUCGUAGACCCGAAACCGGGUGACCUAUCCAUGAGCAGGUUGAAGCAGCGGUAAAACGCUGUGGAGGACCGAACACACGCCUGUUGAAAUAGUCGGUGAUGACUUGUGGAUAGCGGAGAAAUUCCAAUCGAACCCGGAUAUAGCUGGUUCUCCCCGAAAUAGCUUUAGGGCUAGCGUUGUAUUAGAUUACCGGAGGUAAAGCACUGAAUGGGCUAGGGGCUGAGAAGUUACUGAACCCUAUCAAACUAAGAAUGCCGGAUAAUUGAUGUACAGCAGUCAGACUAUGUGAGAUAAGUCUCAUAGUCAAAAGGGAAACAGCCCAGACCCACAGCUAAGGUCCCAAAAUGGAUUUAAGUGGAAAAGGAUGUGGAAUUGCACAGACAACCAGGAUGUUGGCUUAGAAGCAGCCACUCAUUUAAAGAGUGCGUAAUAGCUCACUGGUCGAGUGAUUCUGCGCCGAAAAUUUCCGGGGCUAAAACUUACUACCGAAGCUACGGCAUCAUUAUGAUGGGUAGGGGAGCUUUCUAUACGGGUUGAAGCAUGACCGUAAGGACAUGUGGACUGUAUAGAAGUGAGAAUGUUGGCAUGAGUAGCGAGAUGUGGGUGAGAAUCCCACAGGCCGUAAACCCAAGGUUUCCAGGGGAAGGUUCGUCCGCCCUGGGUUAGUCAGGACCUAAGCCGAGGCCGAAAGGCGUAGGUGAUGGACAACAGGUUGAUAUUCCUGUACCACCAAUAACCGUUUGAGAAAUGGGAUGACACAGUAGGAUAAGCUAACCGCACUGUUGGUUAUGUGCGGGCAAGUAUUGAGGCAGUUCCGAUAGGCAAAUCCGUCGGAAUAAUGCUGGGGUACGAUGCGGAGCGAAAUUAAGUAGCGAAGUAGCUGAUUUCACACUGUCGAGAAAAGUCUCUAUCGAGGUUAAAGGUGCCUGUACCGCAAACCGACACAGGUGGGUGAGGAGAGUAUCCUAAGGCCAGCGAGAGAACUGUUGUUAAGGAACUCGGCAAAAUGACCCCGUAACUUAGGGAGAAGGGGUGCCUUCGAAAGAAGGCCGCAGAGAAUAGGCCCAAGCGACUGUUUACCAAAAACAUAGGUUUCUGCUAAGUCGCAAGACGAUGUAUAGGAGCUGACGCCUGCCCGGUGCUGGAAGGUUAAGGGGAUCUGUUAGAGCAAUCGAAGCAGUGAACUUAAGCCCCAGUAAACGGCGGCCGUAACUAUAACGGUCCUAAGGUAGCGAAAUUCCUUGUCGGGUAAGUUCCGACCCGCACGAAAGGCGUAACGAUUUGGGCACUGUCUCAACAACAGACUCGGUGAAAUUGUAAUACCGGUGAAGAUGCCGGUUACCUGCGACAGGACGGAAAGACCCCAUGGAGCUUUACUGUAGCUUGACAUUGAGUCUCGGUGCUACAUGUACAGGAUAGGUGGGAGACUAUGAAGCAUGGACGUCAGUCUGUGUGGAGUCAUCCUUGGGAUACCACCCUUGUAGUACUGGGAUUCUAACCAGAGGCCAUGAAUCUGGUCUUGGGACACUGUCAGGUGGACAGUUUGACUGGGGCGGUCGCCUCCCAAAAAGUAACGGAGGCGCUCAAAGGUUCUCUCAGUACGGUCGGAAAUCGUACGAAGAGUGUAAAGGCAAAAGAGAGCUUGAUUGCAAGACAUACAGGUCGAGCAAGGACGAAAGUCGGACUUAGUGAUCCGGUGGUUCCGCAUGGAAGGGCCAUCGCUCAACGGAUAAAAGCUACCCUGGGGAUAACAGGCUGAUCUCCCCCAA